rnacentral:rRNA from 1 species
AUUGAACGCUGGCGGCAGGCCUAACACAUGCAAGUCGAACGAGUGGCGGACGGGUGAGUAAUGUCUGGGAAACUGCCUGAUGGAGGGGGAUAACUACUGGAAACGGUAGAUAAUCCCGCAUACCAUCAGAUGUGCCCAGAUGGGAAUAGCGUGUUGGUGGGGUAAAGGAUGACCAAGGCGCCGAUCCCUAGCUGGUCUGAGCGGAUGACCAGCCACGCGGGAUCUGAGACACGGUCCAGACUCCGACGGGAGGCAGCAGUGGGGAAUAUUGCACAAUGGGCGCAAGCCUGAUGCAGCCAUGACGGGGGUAUGAAGAAGGCCUUCGGGUUGUAAAGUACUUUCAGCGGGGAGGCGUUACCCGCAGAAGAAGCACCGGCUAACUCCGUGCCAGCAGCCGCGGUAAUUC